GCGUACACGGUGGAUGCCCUGGCAGUCAGAGGCGAUGAAGGACGUGCUAAUCUGCGAUAAGCGCCGGUAAGGUGAUAUGAACCGUUAUAACCGGCGAUUUCCGAAUGGGGAAACCCAGUGUGAUUCGUCACACUAUCAUUAACUGAAUCCAUAGGUUAAUGAGGCGAACCGGGGGAACUGAAACAUCUAAGUACCCCGAGGAAAAGAAAUCAACCGAGAUUCCCCCAGUAGCGGCGAGCGAACGGGGAGGAGCCCAGAGCCUGAAUCAGCAUGUGUGUUAGUGGAAGCGUCUGGAAAGGCGCGCGAUACAGGGUGACAGCCCCGUACACAAAAGCGCAUGUGCUGUGAGCUCGAUGAGUAGGGCGGGACACGUGGUAUCCUGUCUGAAUAUGGGGGGACCAUCCUCCAAGGCUAAAUACUCCUGACUGACCGAUAGUGAACCAGUACCGUGAGGGAAAGGCGAAAAGAACCCCGGCGAGGGGAGUGAAAAAGAACCUGAAACCGU
rnacentral:rRNA from 1 species